GAUGAAGAACGUAGCGAAAUGCGAUAAGUAAUGUGAAUUGCAGAAUUCAGUGAAUCAUCGAAUCUUUGAACGCACAUUGCGCCCCCUGGUAUUCCGGGGGGCAUGCCUGUCCGAGCGUCAUUACAACCCUCAAGCUCGGCUUGGUGUUGGGCCCCGCCGCCCCGGCGGGCCCUAAAGUCAGUGGCGGUGCCGUCCGGCUCCGAGCGUAGUAAUUCUUCUCGCUCUGGAGGUCCGGUCGUGUGCUCGCCAGCAACCCCCAAUUUUUUUCAGGUUGACCUCGGAUCAGGUAGGGAUACCCGCUGAAAUUAAGCAUAUCAAUAAGCGGAGGA
rnacentral:misc_RNA from 1 species